GCAGAGAGAGAGGGAGAGAGAAUCCUAAGCAGGCUCCACACUGUCAGCUUGGAUCCCAACGAGGGCUUGAACUCAUGAAGCUGUGAGCUCGUGACCUGAGCCGAAACCAAGAGUUGGAUGCUUAACCGAUUGAGCCCCCCAGGCGCCCUUGUUGCUGUUAUUUUAAUAUGCGGCGUCUCUUCUUCCUGUGUUUUCCCUUCUCCCUUCUGCUUCUGCGGUUGAGUGCUUCUUUUAUUCUCCUUCCUAGGUCCCUUCCAUACCUAUUCGACUUGCCCUAGUCUGCAAGCUAUUAUCACCCUUCCCACCCACCGGUUCCAAUGCCUCUGAUCUGUGACGAUGUUGUGGUGGGCAGCGUUUCAUAUCAGGAGUUCUCCCAUUUUAGUGUGUACCAGAAACACCAAUAACCUGAAGCACAGUUACCAUACGGCGUUACAUUCGCUUCGGGUGUACAGUGUGGCGAGCCGACAAUUUCAUACAUCACUCAGUGCCCGUCAGGAUGAGCGGACUCUUAAUCCCCUUCAUGCGUUUCACCCAUCCCCCCCACC